GAGAAAAAAACAUUCAAAUAAAUCGCAUAUCUCUAUGGUGUUUUUUUCUCUUGCCGUUAAGCCUGCCUGUGAGAGACUACAGCAAGUUACAUGAGAUGGAAGUCGGAUGGUAUGCGACUCAUGUCCAACUAACGUCACUUAAUUUUAAAACAUUAACGUUUCUGUAAAAGUUAGUGUUAGAGAUGAAUGGCACGUGAUUUCCGAAAAACAGAGAAUAUCAAGAUGCUCUGUAUUACCACAGGAGGGCAGAUAUUCCUUGAGUGCUUGGACAGACUGCGACACCAUCAUGCUGACUGCAUGCAUACUGAUAAUUCUGCUGCCAAAGCUGGAUCCAAUCUGCUGAGUCCAAAAUCACUGCAGUAAACAGGUCUCGCAGAGAAAGGAUGAAGACCUGAGGGGGGGAAGGGAGGAAUGAGGUGAUGAAAACAGACAUCCUCUGAAAGAAAUCUCCCUAUACCUUCACAUUUGCUUAAUGUUGGCUGUAGCUGCUGAAGCUCAACGCUGGGCCUUAUCCAGGCGGUGCGAUUAAUCCCUCACAGCACGUCAUCUCUACCAUCACUUCCGCCCUGUUCAACAACACACACACACGUCAGGUCAGAUACAAGUUACAGCAUAUACCCUGCAUGGGCAAAACAAAAAGCAUUGUAUAAAUGUUAAGCCUAGAGAAAAUGUUGCCAUUUUAGCUCAAAGAUUGUAGCUUGCACAUUUGAUGGAGUAUAGUGGCGUCAUUUUUUUUUCAACUCCAGAACUUCAGUCAAACAUGGUCUUGUUUUAGAGUUCUCUUCUUUUAAAGUUAUUUUUUGUCAU
rnacentral:lncRNA from 1 species